UAGUCAGCUAUCCCAUAAAAAGCUUCUAUCCUGGGAGCGCGGAUGUGUUAAUGGAAUCAUCUAGCAGCCUUUGCAGACGGACGAUAUUUUGGUGCAAAUGUGUGAUCCACAGAUGCCCUCAAGGGUCAACGAGGCGUCUUCACUGAUUGGAAACAUUGGAUGUAGGAUCAGCAGCAGUUAAAGGGCACAAAACAAUCUGGGCCAAUGCUGAGACAACAAAUGGUGCAGAGCACUGUGUUCUAUUGCGCUGCAGGCUCAUGACAAAGGAUAUAAGGAAACAAUCUUUUGCCGGAAUGCGUGCUGGCGCAAUCAGUAUGAAGACUGCCC